GAUGUACUCCCUCCGUCCGAAAAUACUUGUCGGAGGAAUGGAUGCAUCUAGACGUAUUUUAGUUCUAGGUACAUCCAUUUUUAUGCAUUUCUUCGACAAGUAUUUCCGGACGGAGGGAGUAUUCU
rnacentral:pre_miRNA from 1 species